UACGAAGGGGGCUAGCGUUGUUCGGAAUUACUGGGCGUAAAGGGCGCGUAGGCGGUCCUGAUCGUCGGAUGUGAAAGGCCUGGGCUCAACCUGGGAACUGCAUCCGAUACGGCGGGACUGGAGUGUGGGAGAGGUUGGUGGAAUUCCCAGUGUAGAGGUGAAAUUCGUAGAUACUGGGAAGAACACCGGUGGCGAAGGCGGCCAACUGGACCACAACUGACGCUGAGGCGCGAAAGCGUGGGGAGCAAACAGG
rnacentral:rRNA from 1 species